rnacentral:rRNA from 1 species
UACGUAGGGUGCGAGCGUUAAUCGGAAUUACUGGGCGUAAAGCGUGCGUAGACGGCUAUCUAAGUCGGGUGUGAAAGCCCCGGGCUCAACCUGGGAAUUGCAUUCGAGACUGAAUAGCUAGGGUACGGUAGAGGGAAGUGGAAUUUCCGGUGUAGCGGUGAAAUGCGUAGAUAUCGGAAGGAACAUCAGUGGCGAAAGCGACUUCCUGGACCAGUACCGACGUUCAGGCACGAAAAGCGUGGGGGAGCAAACAGG